UACGUAGGGUGCAAGCGUUGUCCGGAAUUAUUGGGCGUAAAGAGCUCGUAGGCGGUCUGUCACGUCUGCUGUGAAAACUCGGGGCUUAACCCCGGGCCUGCAGUGGGUACGGGCAGACUAGAGUGCGGUAGGGGAGACUGGAAUUCCUGGUGUAGCGGUGAAAUGCGCAGAUAUCAGGAGGAACACCGGUGGCGAAGGCGGGUCUCUGGGCCGUAACUGACACUGAGGAACGAAAGCCAGGGGAGCAAACGGG
rnacentral:rRNA from 1 species